CAUACAUCGGCACAUUCGCAAUAGAACAAGACGGCAAGACCGCAAGAGUGGCUGUCUUUUUGGGAUUUUUGAUCAAAACCACAAUCAUCGAAUUUAGCUAAAUCAGUUGAACCUUUUAACUCGAAAGAAACUUUAGUAGUUAAACCAUCAAAAUUUCAACGCCACUUCUCUCUCUUUCUCUCUCUCUCUCUCUCUCUCUCUCUCUCUCUGUUUCCCUCUCUCUUCAAAACCAAAAAUCAAGAACCUCCAAGACUACAUCAUGGAGUCAUUCUGAGAAGCAGAGCCAGCGUUCAUAGAAACCAGGGUUUUACCAUGUCUUCUGGCUCCACGAACGGGGCCGCCUCUGAGGGUCUCGACUUGAACUCCGAAGCCUUUCCCCUCGCCGAGGAGGAUGUUUCUGUGGUAAGGGUUACAGAAUCUACGGUUUCUGUCACACUGUCUGUAGAUGAAAACCUAGGGGAGCAGGUCUUGGACGAUCAGGUCCCUUCCAAUGGUACCAACCGCGAAGGAGGAACAGCCGAGGCUGGGGUAUCUGGCGAAGGACGGAAUUUGCUAGAAACAUUUGCUCAGGGUUCUGAUGUCUGUGACGGCAGCAUGGGUGCUUUUGGGGUCCGGGGAAGUUCGGAAGAAGAAGAAUCUGCUGAUGUUGGUUUGAUAAAAAAAGAUUCAGAGAGAGAGACCAAGGAAUUAAUAGAUGCGGUUGGUGAUGGGAAAUCAGGAGAUCAUCCCGAUGUGGCGCUAACGCUGAAACUUGGUGCUUCUGAUGCCGAAGAACUGAAAGACAGGGUUGAAAUUACCGAGGCGGAGAGCUCUAUGGCGACCACCGAGUUGACUUUUGAGGAAAUCCACGUUGCUUCCGGGGAGAAAGCUUUUGAAUUGGAAAAUACUGAGGUUUUGAAUUCCAAAGCAGAUGUAACGGAGCCGAUGGAUUUGGAUGAGAAGCCAUAUUUUCCAGAUGAAAAUCAAGGCGUGGAGGUUGAGGGGGUGGGGGGAAGCACCGAACCUGAUGGUGUCAGAGUUUCGGAUCAUUCUGUAAGUUCUUUUCUCCAAGGCGUGGAGGUUGAGGGAGUUGGGGGAAGCACCGAACCUGAUGGUGUUAGAGAUACGGAGCCUUCUGUAAGUCUUGGUUCUAUUUCAAAUUGCGUUUGUAAUACCACUUUAUGCUCAGGUAACAGCGAUGUAAAUCCUUCUCAAAAUGGGAUACAAGAGCUAGUUGCCCAAAUAGCUGAAACACCUUCUAAUCCUGUAGUUACGGAUCAGAGGAUGGAUUUACAUCUCACUAUGGCAAAUGCAGACCAUGGGGCUGCUGUUACAGGUGAUACAACGCUGGCUACCGAGGCCAUUGAUGAAUCCAAAGCUGCAGUGCAGGACCAGAAUCAGGAUGCAGGUGCUCAAAUUGCAGGCACUUUUGGUUAUCAUCCUGAGGACCGAAGGAUGGGCUCGCCUUCUCCUGAGCUGGGUGCUUCUCCAGUGGAUAACCAAUCCAUGGGCUUUGACGUUGAAACAGUUGCAGUAGGUGGGUGCCACAAGCUGGAUGAAAAUCCGUCUGAAUCUCAAUCUCAGCCUAUUGCCAGUGAUCCUGAUGCUAUUAGUUCAGUUGUAGAUUUUGGUAGCUGUCCUUGCACAGAUGUGGAAAAGAAGGUUCUAGAGGAGGUUUUGAAUGAAGAUGAACAAACGGAGGUAAAAGAGAUCGAGGCUGAUGCUACUCAUCCUGGUGCUGAUGGAAGCCAGAAGACUGUACAUGAGGUUUUGAAAGAAGAUGGGGGGAUUGUUGCUAAAGAGAUGUGCGACAAAGUUAAUUAUCCUGGGGAAGAUGGAAACCAGAACACUGUUGAUGAAGUUUUUGAGGAGGAAGGAAGUGGGGUUAAAGAGAUGCUAGAUGAUGUUACCUGCCGUGAUGGAGACGGUAACCAGAAUACUGCUGAUCAUGUUUUGAAAGAGGAAGAAGGAAUGGGGGUUAAGGAGAUGGCAGACGAUGUCACACAUGUGGACAAGGAUGCAGACAUGACGACUGCUGAUAAGGUGGACUGUGAAGAUGAAAGAACUGAGGUUAGAGAGGUGGGGGAUAGUGUUGCCUGUCUGGGCACAGAUGGAAACCUGAAGGCUGUUGAUGAGGUUUUUGAGCAGGAAGGAAGUGGGGUUAAAGAGAUGCUAGAUGAUGUUACCUGCCGGGACGGAGAUGGAAACCAGAAUACUGCUGAUGAUGUUUUGAAAGAGGAUGAAGGAACUGGGGCUAAGGAGAUGGCGGACGAUGUCACACAUCUGGACAAGGACGCAAACAUGACGACUGCUGAUAAGGUGGACUGUGAAGAUGAAAGAACUGAGGUUAGAGAGGUGGGGGAUAGUGUUUCCUGUCUGGGCACAGAUGGAAACCUGAAGGCUGUUGAUGAGGUUUUUGAGGAGGAAGGAAAUGGGGUUAAAGAGAUGCUAGAUGAUGUUACCUGCCGGGACAGAGACGGAAACCAGAAUCCUGCUGAUAAUGUUUUGAAAGAGGAUGAAGGAACUGAGGUUAAGGAGAUGGCAGACGAUGUCACACAUCUGGACAAGGAUGCAGACAUGACGACUGCUGAUAAGGUGGACUGUGAAGAUGAAAGAACUGAGGUUAGAGAGGUGGGGGAUGGAGUUGCCUGUCUGGGCACAGAUGGAAACCUGAAGGCUGUUGAUGAGGUUUUCAAGGAGGAAGGAAGUAGGGUUAAAGAGAUGCUAGAUGAUGUUACCUGCCGGGACGGAGACGGAAACCAUAAACCUGCUGAUAAUGUUUUGAAAGACGAUGAAGGAACUGGGGUUAAGGAGAUGGCAGACGAUGUCACACAUCUGGACAAGGACGCAGACAUGACGACUGCUGAGAAGGUGGACUGUGAAGAUGAAAGAACUGAGGUUAGAGGGGUGGGGGAUGGUGUUACCUGUCUGGGCACUGGUGGAAACCUGAAGGCUGUUGAUGAGGUUUUCGAGGAGGAAGGGAGUAGGGUUAAAGAGAUGCUAGAUGAUGUUACAUGCCGGGACAGAGACGGAAACCAGAAUCCUGCUGAUAAUGUUUUGAAAGAGGAUGAAGGAACUGGGGUUAAGGAGAUGGCAGACGAUGUCACACAUCUGGACAAGGAUGCAGACAUGACGACUGCUGAUAAGGUGGACUGUGAAGAUGAAAGAACUGAGGUUAGAGAGGUGGGGGAUGGAGUUGCUUGUCUGGGCACAGAGGGAAACCUGAAGGCUGGUGAUGAGAUUUUCUGGAAAGAUGAAGGGACGGAGGUUAUGGAUGGGAACCAGAUGAUCCUCAAUGAUGCUUUGAGGGAGGGUGAAGGAACUGAGGCUAAAGAGACGGGUGAUGAUGUCACUCAUCUAACCAGUGAUGGAGACCAGAGGAAUGUAGGAGAGGUUGUGAAGGAAGAUGAAGGAUCCGGUGUCAAAGAGAGAGAAGAUGAUGAUAUAUAUUCUGUGUCUGACUGCUUAGAUGAGAACUUAACAGAAAAUGUCAGUGGGGUUGAUCCACAUGUAAACGAGAUGAUAGAAAUGUCAGAACUGGUUACAACUACUUUGAAUCCUGGAACUGCAUCUGUAAAUGAUAAUUGUGUUUUUUAUGGCCUGCCAACGGAAGAAGGUGAUUUUUCUGCUUCUGAUCUAGUCUGGGGUAAGGUGAAGAGUCAUCCCUGGUGGCCCGGGCAGAUAUUUGAUCCUUCAGAUGCAUCAGAACAGGCAAUGAAAUAUCGAAAGAAGGACAGCUUUUUGGUUGCAUAUUUUGGGGAUCGAACAUUUGCUUGGAAUGAAGCAUCACAGCUAAAGCCUUUUAGAACUCAUUUCUCACAGAUGGAGAAGCAGGCUAAUCUGGAGUCAUUACGUAAAGCAGUCGAUUGUGCAUUGGAUGAAAUUACGAGACGAGUAGCGCUGGGGCUGGCCUGCUUCUGCACAUCUGAAGAAGUCCAUGCAAAGAAUGGAUCCCAAAUGAUUGGGAACCCUGGGAUCCGGAAAGAAUCAAGUAGGAGAGAGGGCGUGGAUAAAUCCUUCAGUGUAAGUUCUUUUGAACCGGAGAUGCUUGUUGAGUAUAUCAGGACAUUAGCACUGUUUCCAUAUGGUGGAGUUGAUAGGCUGGAACUUGUCAUAGCUCAGGUGCAACUGUUGGCUGUCUAUCGUUCAAGGGGAUACUCUUGUUUGCCAAAAUUCCAGUUGUGUGGCGGUUUGGUGGAGAAUGAAGCUGACAGCUUAAUCUUGGAAGAAAGAAAGAAUUCAAAAGAGGUCGUUGAUGACUCUGCAGCUAUAUAUAAGAAUGAAGGUCAAGUACUUUCUGGAAAAGUUAAAUUAAAAAGUCGUGAAGGCUCUUUUCGUAAGCGUAAACACUCCUCAGAUGCCGGUGUACAUCCUAACAAAAAGGAAAGAAGCUUGUCAGAGUUGAUGGCUGGGAAAAAGGCUUUUUCAUCCGAUGAUGGAAAUGAGUCUGUUGACUGGAAGCCAGUUUCAUCAUCAUCAGGAAAACGUAAAGCUGGUGAUUCCAUUCCGGAUGAUUCAGCGACUCAAAAUAGGAAAAGAAGUAUUUCCUUAUCAGGAGCUGCUGAUGCUGACUCUGCUCAGCCCAAGCGAUCUUUCAAAGUUGGUGAAUCCAUCUGUAGAGUUGCAAGCCAACUGACUGGAUCCCCUCCAAUCCUUAAGUGUAGCAGUGAAAGGCUCCGUAAAGGUGCAGUUAAGUUGGAUCAGAACAGAGAAAAUUCUACGAGCGACGGUGAUGCUGUAUCUCCAAGAACUCCUGAACGAAGGAGAAAGAUAGUCCUUCCAACAGAGCACUCGUCCCCAGAAGAGAUGUUGUCGCAACUUUGCUUGGCUGCACGUGACCCAAUGAAAGGUUAUAGUUUUCUGACUACCAUAAUUAGUUUCUUCUCUGAAUUCAGAAAUUUUGUAUGCCUUGAUCGCACAAGUUCUUGGAAGCACAAAAUGUCUUCAGAGAAAGAGGGUGGUAAAAAGAAAAAAUUACCCAACUCUAACAUGGACUCUGCUGAAUCGUAUAGUUUUGAGGAUAUGCAAGACUCUUACUGGACUGACAGGAUUGUCCAAAUUGGUCCCGAAGAACAACCAUUGGAAAAAUCCCGGAAGAAAAGGGGAAGGCCUAGGAAAAAGACGGUUAUGCUAAUCAAUGGAGUUGAUAAUUCUCAUCAGUCCAGUCCUGCAUUGGACAUCGUGCAGCAUAAUCCUGAUGACAAUGCCGAACAGCCAGUUGAAAUUCCAGUGGGCAAUGUGGAUGCAAAAUCCAAGGACUACAAUUCACCAGCAGCACUAAUAUUGAGCUUCUCGGAGUCUGAUGCAGAUUCUAUUCCUUCAGAAAAGAAUCUGAAUAUAUUAUUUAGAUACUUUGGACCUUUGAAGGAAUCAGAAACAGAAGUGCUGAAGACAACUAACUGUGCUAGGGUGGUCUUCAAGAGGCAUACUGAUGCAGAGGUAGCUCUCAGUAGUGCAGGGAAAUUCAGCAUUUUUGGACCAAUGCAUGUCAGCUACAGGCUGACGCAUUGGCCAUCAACAUUAACUAAGGCUUCAUCCUUUGCUGGAACACAACUCAUAGAAUAUGUGGAAUCACAAGGCAUAGAAGAUGUGGCACCACAAGGCAGAGAAGAUGUGGCACCACAAGGCAUAGAAGAUAUGGUACCACAAGUCAUGGAAGAUGUGGAAUCACAAGGCAUGGAGGAUAUGGAUAUGGCACCACUACUCAUAGAAGAUGUGGCACCGCAAGGCAUGGAAGAUGUGGAAUCACAAGGCAUGGAGGAUAUGGAUAUGGCACCACUAAUAGAAGAUGUGGUACCGCAAGGCAUAGAAGAUAUGGCACCAAAAGGCAUGGAAGACGUGGAAUCACAAGGCAUGGAAGACAUGGAAUCACAAGGCAUAGAGGAGGAUAUGGCACCACAAAGCAUGGAAGAUGUGGAAUUGCAAGGCAUAGAGGAUAUGGCACCACAAGGCACAGAAGAUGUGCCACCACAAGACAUAGAAGACAGGGCACCUCAAGGCAUAGAGGAUAUGGCAGCACAAGGCAUAGAGGAUAUGGCAGCACAAGGCAUAGAAGAUAGGGCACCACAACUCAUAGAAGAUGUGGCACCAGAAGGCAUGGAAGAUAGGGCCCCACAACUCAUAGAAGAUGUGGCACCACAAGGCGUAGGAGGUAUGGUACCUGCGGGAAGCAUUGAAGAUACGGUACCUGCGGGAAGCAUUGAAGAUACGGUACCUGCGGGAAGCAUUGAAGAUACGGUACCUGCGGGUGGCAUAGAAGAUAUUUUACCACAAGGCAUAGAAGAUAUGGCACCUGUGAGAGACAACGCAUCUUGAUUUUAUUGUUGCAGAAACAGUUUUGCUUGAAGGUUUCAGGUCUGGUGGAGACUCAAGAAUGAUGGUAGAUGCCAUGUAAAAUGUUGAUGCACCGCCGAGGGUGGUUUAAAUGAAGGGCUGCUGAAGAUAUAGGUGGAUUUGGUCUUUUAUUGGUAAUGGCUUUUAUUCUUCUACAUCCAUCUUUAUUUUCACUAUCCUUAGACAUGUUGUAAAAGGAUGCUUGUAAGUUGAUAUGAAGAAACCCUGGCUCCUCCUUAGUACAAAGCAUUAGAUUGAGAGAUUAGCCAUGAAAAGGUGAACACAUGCUGGAGGUGACAGACGGUGAGGAAAAGCUUUAUUUUUCCCAUGUUUGAUAUGCAGGGCAAGUGGGGAAAAUUUAUGUGACAAUUUAUUUGAUUAGUGACUAUUUGGUUCAUAUUGAAAUUAAAGAAAAUUAGAAUGUUAGGUGUGAUCUCUUAGAGAGACUAUUGAGAUUAUUAAGAGGGGCUAGAUGGGCCAUGGCUUUGAAGGUUUUCUGUGGAUCUGAAUUGACUAUAUUGGUAGCCUCCUCGAGGAGUCCCCUCUGUUUGAUUUAGAACGGAUUUGGUCAACUGUGAUGGUGUGCUCGAUGGGUAAUAAUGGCCCAGCAGGGAUUGGUGGAGCUUUUUGAUAUCAUCAGGGUAGCAUUAUCAUGGUAUCCAUCUGGC